rnacentral:rRNA from 1 species
GAUCCUGGCUCAGGAUGAACGCUAGCUGCAGGCUUAACACAUGCAAGUCGAGGGGCAGCAUGGUCUUAGCUUGCUAAGGCUGAUGGCGACCGGCGCACGGGUGAGUAACACGUAUCCAACCUGCCGUCUACUCUUGGCCAGCCUUCUGAAAGGAAGAUUAAUCCAGGAUGGGAUAAUGAGUUCACAUGUCAGCAUGAUUAAAGGUAUUUUCCGGUAGACGAUGGGG